rnacentral:lncRNA from 1 species
ACUUGUUGGAUCGUUGGCGUUAAUCAUUAAUUCUAAAAACUCGAGCCGUAAGAAAUACGAAAUCAAUUCACUAAAAGCGUAUAGAGACAACGUCCACGAGUCUCGAUUGUGACUUAACCCUCUUAGCCUUACGCCACUUCGAAUAUGACUCGGCCCAAUCCGAUCUCACGCUAUUUCGAAUGUGACUCGGCUCACUUGGCCUUCCGUCACAGGGUAGGAUGCUGGUCCAUUUAAGCGAAUAAUUUUUUCUCCAGUAUCUGCACACAUUUACAGCAUGCGGGAAUCGAACCCAUAACCUUUAUUUCUGGUACCACUUGUCGGAUCAUUGACACUAACCAUUAAUCCCAAAAGCUUGAGCAAUUACAAAUACACAACCAUGCGUCAAUUCAUUUAAAGCGUACAGAUAUAGCGCCAAUGGAUCUCGAUUGUGACUCGGCCUUCUUAGCCUUACGCCAUUUCGAACAUGACUCUGCCUAACCCAGCCUCACGCCAUUUCGAAUGUAAUUCGACCUACUUGACCUUCCGCCACAGCGUAGAAUGCUGACCCAUUUAAACCAAUACAUAACGAUUUUGAAGAGAGAGACAAGGUAUUG